ACCGAUUAUUUUGCUUCUUAGGGUGUGUGCUAAGUAAAAAUAGAGCAUGAAACGACUCAACAAAGCAUAGUUGUUCUAAAUAUAUGACUGUUUUGCAUUAUUGCACAAAAAGUAUCAAAAUUCCGAACGUCAGGGCCACUGGAAUUUAAGACACUGAUCGGUUGGCCUCAGCUCUGGAGACGCUGAUCACAGCCGAGGAGGCCGCCCCCGACAACACCACCGACGGCACACUACUGAAAAAGUACUACCGGCAGAUCGUCACACCCGUGACCGGUCAGUCACCGCAGCUGGCGGCCCUGGGCGGAGCGCUCGAGGCGACAUCUAUUGACUGCAGUCGGUACUACCUGUGCCAGAUGGCAGCACUGGCCAUCCACAGCGGGGAACCGCUCGACAUCGGGGUGCCCCUGAUCAGCCUGCCCGUCUCGUGGGUUCUGACGUCCACCCAAGGCGGCGCGUUCGGUCAGUACUGCAGCAGCGCCGUGCUGGGCGGAUCGGGCGCCGGUAGCUGCCAGAGACUGUACCCCGGCUGUGGGGACGUGUGACGUCAAUAUACCCCGGCUGUGGGGCGGUGUGACGUCAUAGACCCAGCGGGUGUGUGUGACGUCAUCAGUCUCAGAUGGGUGUCACGCUGCAUACUUGUAGAGUGCAGCAGCUACCGGAAAACCCAGAGGGUCUGUUUGUUAAACUAUUACGCAUUUCAGUCAUCUUCGCUUCCCUUUACAGGUUCCAAAAUGACACUGAUGCCAGGAUCCCUUUAGUCCGUAUUGAUGAAUCAUUUCUGGUAGUUAAAUUAUGUCUUAUCCACCAUCUCAUUCUUUUCUGUCUUUCAGCUGCAGUAUUAUUGCUGUUUGAUGUUCAUCAUCGUAGGCAACGCCCCUUGCAUCAGAAACAUAACUGAACGCAUCACAGUCGGUUCCAUAAUGUAUAUAAAUAGUUCGUACAGCUAUAUCCUAUCCCCGAACAAAGAAGACUGAAGACUCUCAACCAUGUAUCUCUUCAGUAAUCCCGUCUGUACGCAAGAUCUUCCACUGUGUCUAUACGCGCGAUCAUCCAUUGUUUGUUGUUGGCGGUGCGCGGGAGAUCAAAUGAUCGCAUCAUUGAUAUUAAUAUCUCCCGUGCGUACGCGUGUUACGUGAGAACCUUAGAGAGCUUUGUAGGCGUCCAAGUGCUUUCAAUAAAUCACUCAAACGUCAAA